rnacentral:lncRNA from 1 species
UACAAGCUUCAACAAAAGAAAAUUCAAAGAACUUAGCGAAGAAGGCUUUGGUGUAUUUAACACUACCCCAACCUACAUGCUCCACUCAGAAAGCUUCAACAUACAAGCUUCAACAAAAGAAAAUUCAAAGAACUUAGCGAAGAAGACUUUGGUGUAUUUAACACAAUACGUUGAAAUGAAGGAAAACUUAUUUAUUGAUAUCCCCGAUAAGCUACA